GACGCUGGCGGCAGGCCUCAAACAUGCAAGUCUAGGGGGUGUAGCAAUACAUCACCGGCGGACGGGUGCGUAACGCGUGGGAAUAUACCUAUCGAUUCGGAACAACUGAGGGAAACUUCAGCUAAUACCGAAUACGUCCUAACGGAGAAAGAUUUAUCGUCGAUAGAUUAGCCCGCGUUCGAUUAGCUAGUUGGUGGGGUAACGGCCCACCAAGGCGACGAUCGAUAGCUGUUCUGAGAGGAAGAUCAGCCACACUGGGACUGAGACACGGCCCAGACUCCUACGGGAGGCAGCAGUUGGGAAUCUUGGACAAUGGGGGAAACCCUGAUCCAGCCAUGCCGCGUGAGUGAUGAAGGCCUUCGGGUUGUAAAACUCUUUCGCGCACGACGAUAAUGACGGUAGUGCGAGAAGAAGCUCCGGCUAACUUCGUG
rnacentral:rRNA from 1 species